GAAUUGUAAUGACUUCUGUUAAUUUGGGUUGUUCUAACUUCAUUUGUGGAGGUAAGACAAGAUAGUAGAGAAAGUAAUGGACUUUCUUUCUUUCUUUCUUUUAAAAAUCUUCAGACUAGAGAUAACAGGAAUUUAUCUCUUCCAGCAGAAAGAGACAUCACAUUCUUGAACAUUAUUAAAAUAGUCUUGAGGACCAUUUGUAAUAAAUAAUAAUAUAUAAUAAUAACUUUAUUUUUAUACCCCGCCCCAUCUCCCCGAAGGGACUCGGGGCGGCUUACAUGGGGCCUGGCCCGAUGUCAGGACCUAGGCUGCAGAGCACCAAUAACCAUACACAGAGGCCAGAAUCUAUCUAAUAUCUUUAUUGUGGGAAUAUAUAAAGUUAAUAAAAACAAGUGUAGAAAAUAGUCCAGAAGUAGACCUUCCAGGAAAGGUCAAAAUUAGUCCAAAGAAACAAUGUCCAAUAUGAAAUAUUAAGGUCCAAAGUUGUAAUCCAGUAACCGAAACACUCACUUUGCCAAGCAAAGUGAGGGGAGAUGACAAGGUCCUAUAGUCCAUGAAACUUAAGCAAGGCUAGGAAGUAAACUUGAUUCUUGGAACACUAGGCUUAAUUCAAGGCAACAAGAAACGAGGAGCAAGAACAGGAUCCGUGGUAAAUUCGUGGCGAGGUCCGGAAAGCAAGGCAAGGUCCGUGGAGCAAGGCAAGGUCCUGGGAAGCAAGGCAAGGCUGGAAAUGGGAGCAAAGGGCUUGAACGCGGGAGUAGCGUAGUCCACACACAACCUACUCCCGAAGCUGAUGAAUUGACUCCGCAAGAUUCCUACGUGGGCAAAACACCUAAAUAGGGUCUCGUUUUCCCGCCAAAGAACAAUUCUCUGGGGAACCAGAACCGAAAGCCAUCCUCUGUGUCCAGAUGCAUGACUCCCUAAAGUUUCCCAUGGGAAGCAGGCUUAAUCAGCUGAAUGCCUGGCAGCAAUCCUAGCACUCCUGCGAGACGCCUCCUGAGCGCCUUUCUGUUGUUUAUAAUAAUCACGGCGAGAAAAUGGGGGAGAUUUCGGCUCAAGGCUUGUUUGGCAGACUUCUGGAAGGCAAAUCUCCUGCAAAUCUCCUGCAGGUGCUAGGAACGGGACUACAUGGCCCAUGAGUCAUCACACCCGAUAAAACAAACAAAUAACAGUAACAAAGCAAUAAAACAAUUAUCCCAGUAAAAAAACAUCAACAUCAAACAUCAACUGGCAAUAAACUGGCAAUACUUAUUGUAAGAGUUCAUAAUCCUGUGGGAGAUGAAAGAAAAAGAAAGAAAGAAAGAAAGAAUAUACUUAUCAUUAUUAGAAACACGUUUGUUUGCUUUCUCCAAAGUUAAUGAAUCCUCAUUUAUAGGUUUCAGUAUUUCAUAACCUACCCUCGCGCCCCCACUUUGAUUUUGGUAUCUUCAGAGGUUGCCACCACCGGGAUCCAACAUGUCAACCACAGAACAAUCUGGUAUAUUAUCAUUGUCUAACCAUAAAAUGUUUACAUCAGCACUUUUAACAAUUUUAUUCAGGCUUAUUUUCUUGCCAGUUCUUGCAUAUAGUAAAUUAUGGUUUUUACAGUAUAUCAUUACAUCACCUUUAUAAUAAAAUUUCUUACAUUCACACUGCACUAUUGUGCUCCAUGUACAAAUAAGGUGAUCAACAGUUUAUCCUUUUCUUUAUGUAGAUGACAUUUACCAUUUUAGUUGUUUUUCAAUAUUCACCUUAAUUCCAUUUGCCCAA
ensembl:lncRNA